GACGAACGCUGGCGGCGUGCUUAACACAUGCAAGUCGAACGGAAAGGCCCUGCUUUUGUGGGGUGCUCGAGUGGCGAACGGGUGAGUAACACGUGAGUAACCUGCCCUUGACUUUGGGAUAACUUCAGGAAACUGGGGCUCAUACCGGAUAGGAGCUCCUGCUGCAUGGUGGGGGUUGGAAAGUUUCGGCGGUUGGGGAUGGACUCGCGGCUUAUCAGCUUGUUGGUGGGGUAGUGGCAUACCAAGGCUUUGACGGGUAGCCGGCCUGAGAGGGGGACCGGCCACCAUAGGACUGAGAGAGGGACCAGACGCCUACGGGGGGCAGCAGUGGCGAAUAUUGCCCAAUGGGGCGAAGCCUGAUGCAGCGACGCCGCGUUCGGGAUGACGGCCUUCGGGUUGUAAACCGCUUUCGCCUGUGACGAAGCGUGAGUGACGGUAAUGGGUAAAGAAGCACCGGCUAACUACGUG
rnacentral:rRNA from 1 species